UUGGCAAACUAAACCACUGUGAACUGAGAGGGUACUUAGACUAAGUGAAGCACUGCAACACCGUGAAAUGCAAUCACGAAGCCACAAAUUUUACCUAGCACAGUGAGUUCAGCGAUCUCGCUCUCCCUCUCUCCCACCAUGUUAGUUCCAACGCAGAUGUAUUUCCCUGCAUCACUCUUCCUGGUGUUGGUGAUCAUCAGCUUGCCACUGCGAAUCUAAACAAAAGCAGAAAUAGGUCAGAGGUCAAGGAUCCCUACAGCGCUGUGUCCAUGAAGCAGGCAGGAGAUUCAGCGUCAUGCUAGACAGCACCUGGCUUGAUUCUGAGAUGUCUGACUCUUCUGCUGCUACCCAAAAGCAACGGAGAAGAAUGGAAUUUCAUUAGUGGUGCUCACAUUAAAAAAUGACACAAAAUGAGUGCAACAUGUCUUUCCAUACAAGUCGUCGCACUACCCUGCAUAAUCCACAAACUUGGAACUACUGGUAGCACUUUACAGUACAGCUUGCUAAUAACAUAGUAGCAGUUUGAUAAUAAAGUAGUAUAUGUGGGUAAUCUUAUACUGAAAUUUAUGUAGCAGGGUAAUAAGAGGCCAAAAACAAAGUGUAAUAAUGGGGAAACACAUUUAAAGUGGAACAAACGAGGCAAAACUAUUUAGUGAUAUAGUAUUUUAGUAAUAUGUUGGUAACAAUAUGAUACACUUCCAACAAUAUCAAUGGUUAUAUCAGUGCAAUAUCUGGAUUUAAAAAUUGUA